rnacentral:rRNA from 1 species
CCUACGGGUGGCAGCAGUGGGGAAUAUUGGACAAUGGGCGAAAGCCUGAUCCAGCCAUGCCGCGUGUGUGAAGAAGGCCUUCGGGUUGUAAAGCACUUUCAGUGGGGAAGAAAGCCUUGGGGCUAAUACCCUCGAGGAAGGACAUCACCCACAGAAGAAGCACCGGCUAACUCCGUGCCAGCAGCCGCGGUAAUACGGAGGGUGCGAGCGUUAAUCGGAAUUACUGGGCGUAAAGCGCGCGUAGGCGGUCUGAUAAGCCGGUUGUGAAAGCCCCGGGCUCAACCUGGGAACGGCAUCCGGAACUGCUAGGCUAGAGUGCAGGAGAGGAAGGUAGAAUUACCGGUGUAGCGGUGAAAUGCGUAGAGAUCGGGAGGAAUACCAGUGGCGAAGGCGGCCUUCUGGACUGACACUGACGCUGAGGUGCGAAAGCGUGGGUAGCAAACAGGAUUAGAUACCCUGGUAGUC